rnacentral:rRNA from 1 species
GAUGAACGCUGGCGGCGUGCCUAAUACAUGCAAGUCGGGCGAACGGACGAGAAGCUUGCUUCUCUGAUGUUAGCAGCGGACGGGUGAGUAACACGUGGAUAACCUACCUAUAAGACUGGGAUAACUUCGAGAAACCGGGGCUAAUACCGGAUAAUAUUUUGAACCGCAUGGUUCAAAAGUGAAAGACUGUCUUGCUGUCACUUCUAGAUGGAUCCGCGCUGCAUUAGCAAGUUGGUAAGGUAAGGGCUUACCAAGGCAACGAUGCAUAGCCGACCUGAGAGAGUGAUCGGCGACACUGGAACAGAGACACGGUCCAGACUCCGACGGGAGGCAGCAGUAGGGACUCUUCCGCAAUGGGCGAAAGCCUGACGGAGCAACGCGGCGUGAGUGAUGAAGGUCUUCGGAUCGUAAAACUCUGUUAUUAGGGAAGAACAUAUGUGUAAGUAACUGUGCACAUAUUGACGGUACCUAAUCAGAAAGCCACGGCUAACUACGUG